rnacentral:rRNA from 1 species
GCAAGUCGAAUGGGUUUAGACCCAUGGCAGACGAGGUAGGAACACGUAGAUACAUACCCCAAAGUCAGGGAUACUCCGGCGAAAGUCGGCAUAAUACUUGAUAGUCUCUUCGGAGUAAAGUUUUAACGCUUUGGGAAUGGCCUGCGGUCUAUCAGCUUGUUGGUAAGGUAACGGCUUACCAAGGCUACGACGGAUAGGGGAGGUGAGAGCCUGACC